GGAUGAACGCUAGCUACAGGCUUAACACAUGCAAGUCGAGGGGAAACGAUAUUGGAAGCUUGCUUCUGAUAGGCGUCGACCGGCGCACGGGUGAGUAACGCGUAUCCAACCUGCCCAUCACUUGGGGAUAACCUUGCGAAAGUAAGACUAAUACCCAAUGACGUCUCUAGAAGACAUCUGAAGGAGAUUAAAGAUUUAUCGGUGAUGGAUGGGGAUGCGUCUGAUUAGCUUGUUGGCGGGGUAACGGCCCACCAAGGCGACGAUCAGUAGGGGUUCUGAGAGGAAGGCCCCCCACAUUGGAACUGAGACACGGUCCAAACUCCUACGGGAGGCAGCAGUGAGGAAUAUUGGUCAAUGGACGAGAGUCUGAACCAGCCAAGUAGCGUGCAGGAUGACGGCCCUAUGGGUUGUAAACUGCUUUUAUAAGGGAAUAAAGUGAGUCUCGUGAGACUUUUUGCAUGUACCUUAUGAAUAAGGACCGGCUAAUUCCGUG
rnacentral:rRNA from 1 species